rnacentral:misc_RNA from 1 species
UUUCCGUAGGUGAACCUGCGGAAGGAUCAUUAUUGUAUAACCGAGGUGCGAGGGCUGUCGCUGACCCGAAAGGUCGUGCACGCCCGUGUGCCCUCACACACAUCCAUCUCACCCCUAUGUGCACCACCGCGUGGGUCCCCCUUUGGCUUGUUCGGAGGGGGGCUUACGUUUUCACACAAACUUUGUAUGCAGUGUAGAAUGUAUUUUUUGUUUUUGCGAUCACGCAAUCAAUACAACUUUCAACAACGGAUCUCUUGGCUCUC